GACCUGAAGAGGUUUGAGAAACCAUUAAUGAAAUUUGGUAAAUCCCCCUCUUUUAUUUGUUUUCCUUUGUCGAUUUCGUUUUAGUUUUAUUUAUUUAUAUUUUUCAUAAGAACUUUAUUGAUUGAAGCUAAUAUUUUUAUUUCUUUUUCAUUUUCUUCUUUAGAUUUAUAAAAGUGCAUUGCUUUUUUUUAUUGUUGUAAAGUGACAGGUAGCAAAAGGUUUCAUCUGGUUUUUAUGCAUGUUUAAUGUUUGAUAUUUUUUAUUAUGCUGAACGGUGCAACCUCCUGAAAACUGAUGCAAAGACAAUAUCUUCUUUUAAACAUGGUGACGUUUUUGUCUUGGAUGAUGGUGGAAAGAAGGAAAGAAGAUGAAACUAUUUGGUGUGCAUUUUCUUUUCAAUUUUUCUCUUGGUUGAAGAUUGUUCUUGAUCUUGAAAAUUAUGAACGCUUCUUGUACAUCAAGUUGAAAAUUUUAUCAUGUGAAAAAAUUAUUUUCUUCUAUUUAUUAGUCAAAAACUUAUUUUGUUUUUGUUUAUUUACUGCUAGUUCAUGUGAUAUCUUAAUUUUUUUGCUUUUAAUUUGAAUGUAUAUUAAUGCAUUGUUGAAAAAGAAAGAAAAGAAAACUAUCUUGAAAAAAAUGUCUGAAUCUUGGUAAAAUUGUCUUAAUUUUUUUAUUAUGGUUGAUUGUUUCUUGGUUGAAUGUUUGUUUCUUAUAUGAAUAUGAUUGGUAGCUUGUGUUGGAAAUGAAUAACGUAUCACAAAAAGUUGAAAAAUUAUUUUUCAAUACAUUUAUUCUGAUUUUCCUAAUUUUAUUGGUAGGUAUGUGAUAAUACAAAUUUAGCAUCGAAAAUUGGUAAAUCUCCCUCUUUUAAUUUGUUAGUUUUUUAUUUACUAUUGUUUUACUAAUUUUGGUUAUAAUAUAUUUUUUGCCUUCAAAUAUUGGUUGCAGAUCUUUAGAAUAAUUGUUGUCUGAAAUAAAUCAAGUAUCAUUCGAUUGAAAUUUAUCAUAUUGGUUAACAUUGACUUAAUCCAUAAUAUGUAGUACUCUAAUGACUAAGAAACAAGAAUGAAGAAAAGUAAUGUAUUAAUUUGUUAUAUGUUGAUGAUUGCAAAUGUUAUGAAUUAAUUUGUUAUUAAUAAGAAGAUAUCUUCAAAGAUUGUGGUGAAUUUGAUGAUUUCAAUUCAACAUAGAUCACGACGGAAGAUUUAAAGGUUUUGGAUAUGCCGAGUUUGGAACUUCAGAAGGUAUAUAUUUUUCAAUAUUUCAAUAACAAUAUUUCAUUUUAAUGAUGUGAUCUUUUUAUUGAGUUGUAAGGUAUAUAUAUGUUUAGAUGUAUGAGAAUGAUGAUGCAAAAGGGAUGAUGAAUCUAUAACAAUGGAUGAAUGGGUAACACCAUUCUUUUAUGAUUAGUUUUGUUUGUGUUAUUUAAUUUUUUAAGGGCUAAUGUGUUGAGUUUAUUUUACACUUUCUUAUUUGCACGCAUCCUGUUUGAUAAAAUAUCUAUAUGUAGUUAUAUUGUCAUAUUAAUAUAACUGAAUUUUGAGUUAUUUCUUGAAAAAUAUCCAAGAACUUAAACCUUAAUUGAAUUUGAAGAUCUAAUACUACUAAAGAAAUGUAGGUCUUACACUUUUUGAAUAAUAGGCAUAAGGUGCACGCUGAAUCCGUAAAUUUUUUACAAGAAAUUAUGUGAAAAAAGUCAGUUGAAUGGAAGGCAGUGGUUGGAAGAAGAAGAAACUCCCCAAAAGGAUUGAUUUUGAAGAUCCGGAAAUGGGAGAUCUACAAACCAGAUUAGAGGCAUAAGCAAGGUUACAGGAUACUAAAUAAUACAUGCUAAAGACGAGGAACCUACACAUGGUGUUGAUUUUCAUGGAUUCAAUUGCGUCUGAUAUAUGCAAUUAAUCAAUAUUGAACCAACAAUGGUUUGAAGAAAAAUAACCUCUAAUUAUGGAAUUUUGAUGACAAAAUAUAAUUAAGAAAAAUAAUAUAUGGUCUAUUAUAGACUUUUUU